CUUGAACGCUGGCGGCAGGCUUAACACAUGCAAGUCGAGCGGAGAUGAGGUGCUUGCACCUUAUCUUAGCGGCGGACGGGUGAGUAAUGCUUAGGAAUCUGCCUAUUAGUGGGGGACAACAUUCCGAAAGGAAUGCUAAUACCGCAUACGUCCUACGGGAGAAAGCAGGGGAUCUUCGGACCUUGCGCUAAUAGAUGAGCCUAAGUCGGAUUAGCUAGUUGGUGGGGUAAAGGCCUACCAAGGCGACGAUCUGUAGCGGGUCUGAGAGGAUGUUCCGCCGCACUGGGACUGAGACACGGCCCAGACUCCUACGGGAGGCAGCAGUGGGGAAUACAGGACAAUGGGGGGAACCCUGAUCCAGCCAUGCCGCGUGUGUGAAGAAGGCCUUAUGGUUGUAAAGCACUUUAAGCGAGGAGGAGGCUACUGAGACUAAUACCCUUGGAUAGUGGACGUUACUCGCAGAAUAAGCACCGGCUAACUCUGUGCCAGCCGCCGCGGUAACAC
rnacentral:rRNA from 1 species